rnacentral:lncRNA from 1 species
AAAGUUUCACUUUUUCCAUAGAAAUCUGCCAUUCCCAAAGCUCUUUGGGAUUUGGGAUUUGGUGUGGUUCAGCAGCAACAUCGCAGAGAGUAAGAUCAAUCUUUUGCUCUUCAAUGUUGCACUCUACAGCUUCGUUUUCCAUUUACACUGAUGAUGAAAAUCAAGAACAAAUCAUGGGGUUAGAAGCGUUUGAGAAGGGUGUUAUGAUUGAAGUGAACAAAGAAGAAGUUCUGGGUAGUACUGGUCAUGAUUUCAGUUUUUCUGAAAGGGCUAUGGGGUUGAUUCAAGAGGAAGAAAUGGAAGAUGAAGAUGGUCUAAACCGGGGUUUUGACGACAGUGAGGUUAACCUUAGACCCGCGAGUCCUCCGCUCUAUUUAGCGGCGGGUCUU